rnacentral:rRNA from 1 species
CCUACGGGAGGCAGCAGUAGGGAAUAUUGCACAAUGGGCGCAAGCCUGAUGCAGCCAUGCCGCGUGUGUGAAGAAGGCCUUCGGGUUGUAAAGCACUUUCAGCGGGGAGGAAGGCGUUAAGGUUAAUAACCUUGUCGAUUGACGUUACCCGCAGAAGAAGCACCGGCUAACUCCGUGCCAGCAGCCGCGGUAAUACGGAGGGUGCAAGCGUUAAUCGGAAUUACUGGGCGUAAAGCGCACGCAGGCGGUCUGUCAAGUCGGAUGUGAAAUCCCCGGGCUCAACCUGGGAACUGCAUUCGAAACUGGCAGGCUAGAGUCUUGUAGAGGGGGGUAGAAUUCCAGGUGUAGCGGUGAAAUGCGUAGAGAUCUGGAGGAAUACCGGUGGCGAAGGCGGCCCCCUGGACAAAGACUGACGCUCAGGUGCGAAAGCGUGGGGAGCAAACAGGAUUAGAUACCCUUGUAGUC